GAUGAACGCUGGCGGCGUGCCUAAUACAUGCAAGUCGAGCGAACAGACGAGGAGCUUGCUCCUCUGAAGUUAGCGGCGGACGGGUGAGUAACACGUGGAUAACCUACCUAUAAGACUGGGAUAACUUCGGGAAACCGGAGCUAAUACCGGAUAAUAUAUUGAACCGCAUGGUUCAAUAGUGAAAGACGGUUUUGAUGUCACUUAUAGAUGGAUCCGCGCCGCAUUAGCUAGUUGGUAAGGUAACGGCUUACCAAGGCAACGAUGCGUAGCCGACCUGAGAGGGUGAUCGGCCACCCUGGAACUGAGACACGGUCCAGACUCCUACGGGAGGCAGCAGUAGGGAAUCUUCCGCAAUGGGCGAAAGCCUGACGGAGCAACGCCGCGUGAGUGAUGAAGGUCUUCGGAUCGUAAAACUCUGUUAUUAGGGAAGAACAAAUGUGUAAGUAACUAUGCACGUCUUGACGGUACCUAAUCAGAAAGCCACGGCUAACUACGUG
rnacentral:rRNA from 1 species